rnacentral:misc_RNA from 1 species
GAAAUGCGAUACGUAAUGUGAAUUGCAAAUUCAGUGAAUCAUCGAGUCUUUGAACGCACAUUGCGCCCCCUGGUAUUCCGGGGGGCAUGCCUGUCCGAGCGUCAUUUCUGCCCUCAAGCACGGCUUGUGUGUUGGGCCCCGUCCUCCGAUCCCGGGGGACGGGCCCGAAAGGCAGCGGCGGCACCGCGUCCGGUCCUCGAGCGUAUGGGACUUUGUCACCCGCUCUGUAGGCCCGGCCGGCGCUUGCCGAUCAACCCAAAUUUUUAUCCAGGUUGACCUCGGAUCAGGUAGGGAUACCCGCUGAACUUAAGC